rnacentral:lncRNA from 1 species
UGACAAGGAGUUACGCGAUAUCGUUGGUCUGACAUCAAUUUAUGUUAAUUGGGAAUAACUCGCUUUGUAUUUAUACCCAACUGAAAGGGCCGCGAGACAAGCGUUUGGGCAGCUCCCUGUUUAUGAAAGAAAAUUCUAAAAUGAGGCUUAAACCAAACAGCGAUGUUGUUUUACUUUUAUGUCUUGGCUUUCUUUGUUGUAGCCAAAUAUGCUGUGUAAGCCUCGAAAUCACGCGAAGACAAGAGAGACACGGAGAGGAAAAAACCGAUGAUGUUCGAGUGGGUACCAUAAUGUUCGGCAGAGAUAUUUCUGAUUUUGGCCCAGUGAAAAAUGAGGAUGGCUUUAACAUCCAAGCCGACGCUGCUGAGCUGGUUGGUGGACAAGAUGUCACUGAUGACUCCAGUUCUUCUAAGGCAGCCUGGGCUAGUAUGCGACCAACUGUGUUAUGUACUAAGGACCUCAUGAAGUUCUCUGCACAAGGCCCAGGAUCCUCUUCACUUCAGCUAGACAGAGCAGGAGGAACACCGCUCAAGCUAAACCAGCUGCCGCAGGACUGUGGCUACUCUGUGUACAGGACCGUACUGGGCUUUGUGUUUCUCAUCCCCUAUGAUGGUCGUGAUGUUAUAAAUCAGGGUGGCAACCAUUUGCUCCAGAUGUUAUGGCAAGGUAAUCCAGUAACCCUUUCUUGCCCUAUGUCAACCCAAGCCUCUCAAUCUCCUAUGGAUCGACCACUUAUCCAUCCAUCAGCUCCCACUACUGAAGCUCCAUCUACUGGGAUACAACCCAGGAUGCAAAACCCAGGAUCCACUGCCUCUAAGCUUCCCCCACAAGAUCAACAGCAUCAGCAUCAGAAGCAGCAUCAGAAGCAGCAUCAGCAUCAGAAGCAGCAGCAGCAGCAGCAGCAGCAGCAGCAGCAGCAGCAGCAGCAGCAGCAGCAGCAGCAACAGUUGAAGCAGCAGCAGCAGCAGCAGCAACAGCAACAGUUGAAGCAGCAGCAGCAGCAGCAGCAAGAAUUGAUGCACUCUUACUUUAUGUACCCCGGAUACAGAAACCCUUUCAUGCCAGUAAAGGCUCCCCCUCAAACUGCUGCAGCUCCCACUACUGAAGCGCCAACUACCACAGAAGCAACUUCAUCCACUUCCUCUAAGCUUCCCCCACAAGAUCAACAGCAGCAGCAACAGUUGCAGCAGCAGCAACAGUUGAAGCAGCAGCAGCAGCAGCAGCAAGAAUUGAUGCACUCUUACUUUAUGUACCCCGGAUACAGAAACCCUUUCAUGCCAGUAAAGGCUCCCCCUCAAACUGCUGCAGCUCCCACUACUGAAGCGCCAACUACCACAGAAGCAACUUCAUCCACUUCCUCUAAGCUUCCCCCACAAGAUCAGCAGCAACAGUUGAUGCACUCUGACUUUGUGUACCCUGGAUACAGAAACCCUUUCAUGCCAGUGAAGGCUCCCCCUCAAACUACUGCAGCUCCCACUACCACAGAAGCAACUUCAUCCACUGCCUCUAAGCUUCCCCCACAAGAUCAGCAGCAACAGUUGAUGCACUCUGACUUUGUGUACCCAGGGUACUCUAACCCUUUCAUGCCAGUGAUGGCUCCCUACCAAACUACUGAAGCUCCAACUACAGAAGCAACUUCAUCCACUGCCUCUAAGCUUCCCCCACAAGAUCAACAGCAGCAGCAGUUGCAGCAGCAGCAGCAGCAGCAGCAGCAUCAUCAGCAGCAUCAUCAGCAGCAUCAUCAGCAGCAUCAGCAUCAGCAGCAGCAGCAGCAACAGUUGAAACAGCAGCAGCAGCAGCAGCAGCAGCAAGAAUUGAUGCACUCUUACUUCAUGUACCCCGGAUACAGAAACCCUUUCAUGCCAGUAAAUGCCGCCAGUAAAUUUCCCACCACCCAUUCCAGCUAAGGCUCCAGCAUCCACUGCUGCUCCAACGACCACUCCAUCAGAACUCCCAACCGUCUGCCCUCACAGAAAAUUAGAGUCUGCAGGAGAUUUCUAACUACAAUGAACCCCUCAAACCUUUUUUUGUCAAGUUCCUUUAUCCCUCUGAUCUCGACCAACCGAAGGCCAAGACCAAAUCUUGGACUCGGGUGUUCUCACAGAAGGGGAACACGCCCGUUAGUCCCACAUGACAUGCUGGCUACAUUUCCUUUUAAUAAAUGUCUCCAGACCAAGAGCA